GAUGAACGCUAGCGACAGGCCUAACACAUGCAAGUCGAGGGGCAACGGGGCGUAGCAAUACGCUGCCGGCGACCGGCGGAUGGGUGAGUAACGCGUAUGCAACCUGCCUUCAGCAGGGGGAUAGCCCGUUGAAAGACGGAUUAAUACCCCAUAACACAGGGGCUCCGCAUGGAGAUUAUUGUUAAAGGGAUGCUUCCUUCGGGGGUAUUCCGGCUGAAGAUGGGCAUGCGUUCCAUUAGGUAGUUGGUUGAGGUAACGGCUCACCAAGCCUGCGAUGGAUAGGGGAACUGAGAGGUUGGUCCCCCACACUGGUACUGAGACACGGACCAGACUCCUACGGGAGGCAGCAGUGAGGAAUCUUGGUCAAUGGACGGAAGUCUGAACCAGCCAUGUCGCGUGAAGGAGGACGGCCCUAAGGGUUGUAAAACUUCUUUUGCAGCGGAAUAAAGUAUUCCACGUGAUGGGAUAUUGCAAGUACGCUGCGAAUAAGGAUCGGCUAACUCCGUACG
rnacentral:rRNA from 1 species